rnacentral:rRNA from 1 species
AAAGGAAGAAGAUCUAAGAAUGCUUCUUUAAGAAGCUUUCUUGAUGGAGGGGAGUGGCAGACGGGUGAGUAACGCGUGGGAACAUACCCUUUUCUACGGAAUAGCUCUGGGAAACGGGAAUCAAUACCGUAUACGCCCUACGGGGGAAAGAUUUAUCGGGGAAGGAUUGGCCCGCGUUGGAUUAGCUAGUUGGUGGGGUAAAGGCCUACCAAGGCGACGAUCCAUAGCUGGUCUGAGAGGAUGAUCAGCCACAUUGGGACUGAGACACGGCCCAAACUCCUAUGGGAGGCAGCAGUGGGGAAUAUUGGACAAUGGGCGCAAGCCUGAUCCAGCCAUGCCGCGUGAGUGAUAAAGGCCUUAGGGUUGUAAAGCUCUUUCACCGAUGAAGAUAAUGACGGUAGUCGGAGAAGAAGCCCCGGCUAACUUCGUGCCAGCAGCCGCGGUAAAAC